rnacentral:rRNA from 1 species
UGGGGAAUUUUGGACAAUGGGGGCAACCCUGAUCCAGCCAUUCCGCGUGAGUGAAGAAGGCCUUCGGGUUGUAAAGCUCUUUUGUCCGGAACGAAACGGUUGUGGUGAAUAUCCACGACUACUGACGGUACCGGAAGAAUAAGCACCGGCUAACUACGUGCCAGCAGCCGCGGUAAUACGUAGGGUGCGAGCGUUAAUCGGAAUUACUGGGCGUAAAGCGUGCGCAGGCGGUUUUGUAAGCCAGAUGUGAAAUCCCCGGGCUUAACCUGGGAAUGGCAUUUGGGACUGCAAGGCUCGAGUAUGGCAGAGGGGACUAGAAUUCCUGGUGUAGCAGUGAAAUGCGUAGAUAUCAGGAGGAAUACCGAUGGCGAAGGCAGGUCCCUGGGUUAAUACUGACGCUCAUGCACGAAAGCGUGGGGAGCAAACAGG